GACAGAGGGUGCAAACGUUGUUCGGAAUUACUGGGCGUAAAGCGCGUGUAGGCGGCUAAGUAAGUCGGGCGUGAAAUCCCACGGCUCAACCGUGGAAGUGCACUCGAAACUGCAUAGCUAGAGUCCUGGAGAGGAAGGUGGAAUGCUUGGUGUAGAGGUGAAAUGCGUAGAUAUCCGGAGGAACACCGAUGGCGAAGGCAACUGCCUGGGCCUGAUCUGACACUGAGGCACGAAAGCGUGGGUAGCAACAGG
rnacentral:rRNA from 1 species